AACCUUCACUGAUGUUUCCUGCAUUGAGUAAAGAUCAGCAGCUCUCCAGGAACCCUGCAAGACUGGGACUGCUGAGGCCCCUAGCCUUGAAGACAGAACAACUACUGGGUUAUCAUCCUCCCUAGUGAGGGAUAGCAACUGUGGGAUUACUCCAGAUGUUUACCACCCAAGUAAUGCCUCGGUCUCUGCUCUCAGAUAAGCGUAAUAUAGGGGUGUAGCCAAGAUGUCAGAAUGCUUGCCAAACAUGUGAAAAUCCCUGAGUUCAACCUCCAGCAUCACAUAAAAUAGCCCGUGGGGUUGUAUACCUAUAUUUCUAGCACUUGGAGAUAGCAGCAGGAGGAUCAGAUAUUCAAGGUCAACCUCAACUACCAGGUACAAAAAAAUCUGUCCAGAAUGUUUCUGUGAAUACUGCAGAAAUCAUUUACUCGUGGGAGAUUGCAAGGUAGGACUCUGUCUAGUGCCCUGGUUUUCUUAAAGAGCCUGUGUGUCAUACUUCAAGAACAUAUUGUUUCAACUUUGUAAAGAAAUAUAUUGUAUAUGUAGUAAGAUUACAUGAGUAUUGAGUGCCUACUGUGUGACAGACAUUAUAGUAUUCUUUGCCAAAGUAAGCACAUUGGAAUAACUUCAGGUUGGCACAAGAUUCAAAAUCAUCUUGGAUCCAACUCAUAAUUCAAAACAAUAACAAACUCUUAAAAAGUAUUAGCCUGGCUCACCUUUAAACAAUCUGAAUUCAAAGUGUGAGUUGGGCAGGCAAGAAAAUGGAAGAGGACCAGUGUGGAUCCUGGAGUGGGGGAUUCUGGACACGUGGAGGCCCUUGGAUGCUGAAAUCAGAGGUACAAACCAACCAAGCUGGCCCUCUGAACUCACUGAUUCACCCUGGGGAUUUUUAUUACCAGAUAAAGCAUGUAUUUCUUUUGCAGGAUGAUUAUAGUGUAGUGACUAUGGUGAGUCACACUCAAAUUGAUGUGGAGACUACAAAUCAUGCAGAGACGGUGUGCAUGCAUGUAGGGGUGUAUGUGUGUGUAUAUGUGUGUCCAUCUGCAUAGAAAGUCCAUAGGACAACCUCAAGUAUCUCUCCACCUUGUUUUGUGAGACAAGGUCUCUCACUGGCCUGGAACUUGCCAAGUAGGCUAGGCUGUCUGGCUAUUGCUCCCUAGAUAUUCACCAGCCUUGGAAUAACAAGUGUGUGGCAGCACACAUGGAUUUUUUUUAAAAAAUAUGGGUCUGGAAGUUGAACUCUGCUUCUUGUGCUUGGAAGGAGUAUACUUUACUUGCUUAGCUAUCUCCCCAGCUUAAAAAAUAAUGUCCUCUCAGAACACAAAGCAUAUGUUUUUACACUUACAACCAGAGUUCUAUUUCAUUUUCUAGUUUUGAGAGAACUGUAGGGAAAAACACCCUUGCUUCCUGUCUCAUGUCAGUAUGAAUUCAGUUCCCCAGUUACCUAUAAUUUGAGGACAACAGAAUACUCUUUUUCCUUCCAUCAGCCUUUUCUCAGCUCGUAGAUGUUUGAACAGGUAUGAGAGGAAUAAGUUCUGGCAAGCAAUAACUUGCAAACACAGCUGUUUCUGUUGUUUCAGGCCAAAAGAGACCAGUGUAUGUUCAGUCCACCACAAGGAGAAGCCUAUUGGCUGUUGUCAGGAAGGCAGGAUCAAGGAGCAAAGAUUAGCUCUCCACCCAACCUAAUCUACUGUUUAUCACUUCCCUGCAGCACCAAGGAGCUGUUUUAGAGUGUUUUGCUCAUAGGACUCCAAAGACAGGAAGGCAUUUUUAUGGGUUAGUGCCACAUCAGGUGCUUCCCUCAAAGCAUAACCCACACUCAAGUGAAGAGCAUAUCUUCUGAAGAUAGGGAGAUAGCAAAGAAUCUAUGACAAUAUUAAAAUGACUGUAAUGUGUCAGAGGAAAACUAUUCUAUCAUGGAAUGGCAGAAACCUUUCUGAUCAUUGUUUGAAUGGGAGAUUGGAGUGUCCUCUGCCUUGGGCACCUGGUGAGACUAUGCUGAUGACCACACUGAAGAUGGGAGAUUGGAGUGUCCUCUGCCUUGGGUACCUGGUGAGACUAUGCUGAUGACCACACUGAAGAUGGGAGAUUGGAGUGUCCUCUGCCUUGGGCACCUGGUGAGACUAUGCUGAUGACCACACCGAUCCAGUGGCUUCUCUGGCACCAGAACAGUAUCAGCACCAUCUGACCCUCUCUCUACCCAUCUUAAAGAACAUAUUGUCUGAGCAGCAUGAUAACAGUUCUGAGCUUCCUGCUGCCUCUGUUUUAAUUUGUUGAUAUUUUCAUUUAACUACUCUGAUGGGAACAUUAAAUCAAUGUGGUUGAUUUUUGAAGAAUGCAAUCUAGAAAA
ensembl:sense_overlapping